GAUGAACGCUGGCGGCGUGCCUAAUACAUGCAAGUCGAGCGAACAGAUAAGGAGCUUGCUCCUUUGACGUUAGCGGCGGACGGGUGAGUAACACGUGGGUAACCUACCUAUAAGACUGGAAUAACUCCGGGAAACCGGGGCUAAUGCCGGAUAACAUUUAGAACCGCAUGGUUCUAAAGUGAAAGAUGGUUUUGCUAUCACUUAUAGAUGGACCCGCGCCGUAUUAGCUAGUUGGUAAGGUAACGGCUUACCAAGGCAACGAUACGUAGCCGACCUGAGAGGGUGAUCGGCCACACUGGAACUGAGACACGGUGCAGACUCCUACGGGAGGCAGCAGUAGGGAAUCUUCCGCAAUGGGCGAAAGCCUGACGGAGCAACGCCGCGUGAGUGAUGAAGGUCUUCGGAUCGUAAAACUCUGUUAUUAGGGAAGAACAAAUGUGUAAGUAACUGUGCACGUCUUGACGGUACCUAAUCAGAAAGCCACGGCUAACUACGUG
rnacentral:rRNA from 1 species